rnacentral:lncRNA from 1 species
GGUCAAUUCGCGGCGUAGCCGCUGCCCCAACUCCUGCCCCAUUCUGGUCCCGCCCCUCUCCCGCCUUUUCGCUGGGAAGGGUAUCACCUUUCUCUGGCCCCGCCCCUGACGGUUCCGGGCCCCGCGAAGCUUAGUCCCUUCUUUGUCAAGCCAGGACCCGCCCACGGUCUAUUCAUAGGGUCCCAAACCACUUUGGCCACAACACCCCCAGACUGGUCCGAAGCCUCGUGAGUUCGCCCUGGUCGUUGCACUCCAGCCUGUCGCUGUGCAGACCUGGCUUAGAGGACCCCUAAGGCUGAGGGGUCACUUCCAGAACUGAGUCCGGUCCGCAGGUUCUGCUACGCUCCAGCCAGCCCCUAACUGGUCCCCAGAAGCGGCGCUGCUACAGGGACCAGGAGCUGCUGCGAACUGCGCUGGCGGGGGCUCGUCCUUGGGCGCGGGGCUUCAUCAUGGACACGCUCUCGGCCCAGGCCGCGAAACAAGCCCGCGUGACUGGCGGAGGCACAGAGACCAAGGCCGCUUAACCUGGCUGGUUGCACUGGUCCCUGGAGAGAGGGCGUCCCCUGCAGGAGAGCUUCAUGCGCCUGGUGGAGGCCUGUGGGGACUCGGAGCAAAGCAUGGACAACUGGCUGAGUCGGCUGGACGGCUGCCGCUGACUGUAACAUGUAAAGCAGGCACUGAGCACCACCUGCCUGGCAGUCCAGGGCAUGGAGAGGCACAGACAGCACCCUGCUUGUGACUUCACUGGCCCAACUCAUCCUGGACCCCUUGAGCAAGACCAUGGCUGGAUUCCAGGAACUGGUGGAGUGGAAGUGGAUCCAGGAAAAUGCCGUGUGAAGGGAGGACUCAGAUGCACUCCCUGUGGUCUGGGCUCAACCAGCCAAAAGAGCAACAAAGACUCCAGAACCCACUCUACCUCCUCAAUCCCUUGGCCAUCUGUGGAGCCCCAGAGCCUGCGGCUGUGGCAAGGUGAGCUCCACACCUUCUCCCCUG